GUGUCAGCAGCCGCGGUAAUACGUAGGUGGCAAGCGUUGUCCGGAUUUAUUGGGUUUAAAGGGUGCGUAGGCGGCGCCAUAAGUCAGUGCUGAAAUAUCCCGGCUUAACCGGGAGGGUGGCAUUGAUACUGUGGUGCUUGAGUGUAGUCGAGGUAGGCGGAAUUGACGGUGUAGCGGUGAAAUGCUUAGAUAUCGUCAAGAACACCGAUAGUGUAGACAGCUUACUAGGCUACAACUGACGCUGAGGCACGAAAGUGUGGGGAUCAAACAGGAUUAGAUACCCUGGUAGUCC
rnacentral:rRNA from 1 species